rnacentral:rRNA from 1 species
CCUACGGGAGGCAGCAGUGGGGAAUAUUGGACAAUGGGCCCAAGCCUGAUCCAGCCAUGCCGCGUGUGUGAAGAAGGCCUUUUGGUUGUAAAGCACUUUAAGCGAGGAGGAGGCUACUUGGAUUAAUACUCUAGGAUAGUGGACGUUACUCGCAGAAUAAGCACCGGCUAACUCUGUGCCAGCAGCCGCGGUAAU